rnacentral:sRNA from 1 species
GCCAAGAUGGCCGUAGCUCCUCCCUCACCACUGCAUGUACAUCAUCCCCAAAGCUGUGUGCUCCAUCAAAGAGAGUAGCCUUUCUCAAUACACACAACAUUCUUCAGUUGAGGGUAUAUAAGCAGUGGUAUUACCAUGCCAGAUAGAACUGCCAAAGAGGAUCUCAAUGUCCUUCUGCAAAAUAAUAGAUUAGCCAAACUUCCCAGAUCAAGACAUGUCCAAAUGAGGUACUGUGUGUGUAUCAAUCUUUAUUU